GGGGAAGCCUCCGUUAGGGCCCCUCGGGGGUGGGGGCGUCCUCGUGGCGCUUGGGCCCUUCGUCCCGGGUUAGGACGGCCCGUGUCCUUGUGCGCUUGAAGGGGCCGCCCCCUUUCCUCGAGGAUCCCACCCCCACUCAGCAGAAGCCGCCAGGCGCCCGUCACCUCCCGUGCCUGAGUCCCUGCCGUCCACGCAUUCGGCCUACAGGCAGCUUUUAGUCCUUUUUCAAUUAAAUGAUUGCAUUUUGAGGAUCAAAUUCCAACCGCAGGCGGAGGCGCCGAGCCCCGGACGGUCUCUGGGUUCUUGGUGCACUCGGGGCUCCUGCCUGCCCAGGGGCUGUGACCGCGCGGACGGAAGCCUAUUUGGGAAGCGAGUGAGAUCUGAUGUCUGAAGCGCUUUAAGUUUCUAAGCGGGGCAGUAUAAUAGCGGGGUUAGCAAACACACGGAGGUCAUUUCACUCGCGCAGCCAUCCCCCACCGCCACCAGUGCCGUUCAUUUGCUACUGGCCCGCAGUCAGAUAAUUUAAAGGCUUGGAGGGACGAGUCUUGCUGGAGCCGACGCCUACAGCUUGGUGGAGUUUCAAGAUGCUGAUGAACUUAAGGUCUGGCGCUUGAAAGAAUCAGUGAAGCUUUUCAAGUAGAGGAGUACUCUACUUUGAAGAAAGGAAUGGAACAGAAGGUGUCUGCAUAACUAAAUGGGGAUCUAGAGAAAGUGGAGACUGCCUCUGGAGCAGGGAGGAUUAUGCCACCAUGACUAGAAGGCCCCCUAAUGGAGUUUAUCUGCACUGCAAGGGGCCAGUUGUCUCAGAAUCAUCCUCCGUUGACAUCUCCAUCUCCAGGACAGCUCCACACUAAUCUGUUUCAAAGACAAAAUCCAGUCUAAUCAGUUUGAUGUAUGUUUCUGGGAAUAGAGCCGAAUGUUGUAGCUGAUGGAAUGGAGUCUCAUACCAUUGAUUUUGCAGCUGGACAAGUGCCCUGCCAUGUUACUGCCACUCUUUAAGGCAGAAUAGAGCACAUUGUAUCAUUUAUAGGCCUCUCACAGUGAGAAAUAUGUGGAACUUUGGAAAUCAGAAUCUAAAACUGCAGUCCAAUGGGGUAGCCACUAUUCACAUGUGCUAUUGAGUACCUAAAAUGUGGCUAGACCAAGUUGACAUGUGCUGAAGGGUGAAAAACACCAGGAGUGAAGAAUUAACUUGAAAAAAAUGUAAACUAUCUCAAUUUUAUAUUGAUUACAAAUUAAAUGAUGUUUUGA
ensembl:lncRNA SNHG26 small nucleolar RNA host gene 26